ACGGCUCAGUAACACGUAUCCAACCUUCCCAUAACUCGGGGAUAGCCUUUCGAAAGAAAGAUUAAUACCCGAUGGUACUUAUAUAAGGCAUCUUAAAUAAGUUAAAGAUUUAUUGGUUAUGGAUGGGGAUGCGUUCCAUUAGAUAGUUGGUGAGGUAACGGCUCACCAAGUCUUCGAUGGAUAGGGGUUCUGAGAGGAAGGUCCCCCACAUUGGUACUGAGACACGGACCAAACUCCUACGGGAGGCAGCAGUGAGGAAUAUUGGUCAAUGGGCGAGAGCCUGAACCAGCCAAGUAGCGUGAAGGAUGAAGGUCCUAUGGAUUGUAAACUUCUUUUAUAGUAGAAUAAAGUGACCCACGUGUGGGUUUUUGUAUGUAUACUAUGAAUAAGGAUCGGCUAACUCCGUGCCAGCAGCCGCGGUAAUACGGAGGAUCCGAGCGUUAUCCGGAUUUAUUGGGUUUAAAGGGUGCGUAGGCGGAAUAAUAAGUCAGUUGUGAAAGUUUGCGGCUCAACCGUAAAAUUGCAGUUGAUACUGUUAUUCUUGAGUGUACAUAAGGUAGGCGGAAUUCGUGGUGUAGCGGUGAAAUGCUUAGAUAUCACGAAGAACUCCAAUUGCGAAGGCAGCUUACCGGGGUACAACUGACGCUGAGGCACGAAAGUGUGGGUAUCAAACAGGAUUAGAUACCCUGGUAGUCCACACAGUAAACGAUGAAUACUCGCUGUUUGCGAUAUACCGCAAGCGGCCAAGCGAAAGCAUUAAGUAUUCCACCUGGGGAGUACGCCGGCAACGGUGAAACUCAAAGGAAUUGGCGGGGGAGCAC
rnacentral:rRNA from 1 species